CGGGCUCGUUGUUGGCCCCGUUGUAGUCGGCCGGGUAAUAGCCGGCGCCGGUGGGGAAGUUGUAGGUGAUCGACGUGCCGUCCCAUCGGGAGCCCGAC
rnacentral:tRNA from 1 species